CCUUAAUCAGUGAAUUAAUGCUCUGAUAGUCAUAAUAUGACAGCAUUAUUACGAGGUGGUGAAAAGUAAGGAUGUGUCCUUUGGGGGCUACAUUUUUCCCUGGCCCCUUUUGUGUUCCCUUUCCGCAGCAUCCUCCUCUGCAGGUUACCAUGGACUUGGUGUUCCGCCUCACUACCAGCCUAGAAUACAGGAGCUAAGUACUGGAGACAGAAACCGGGAGGCAUACUGAAUCGCCAUACCUUUGUCUAAACACGGAUCCAAAGUCUCGCGGAGGAAAUCCACUCCACCAUCACAAAUAACCACAACAGAUCUGGUGACGGUGAUGAUAGUGAUGAUGAUGCAGAAAGAAAAGUUAAACUACUUUGAGACAUCACUUCCUUCCAAUCAGAAUGGCCAUUAUCACAAAAUCUGAUCACGCAUACCG
rnacentral:lncRNA from 1 species